CAAGGCCGCCACUCACACAGUCCACACCACACUCAACAACAUCCACUCUCCAACACUCCACUCAACAUGCACAACCUGCCCGCCAUCAUGACGCUGACCAGGGAGCCGAUUGGCUCGGCUUGGCGGCAGCAGGCUGUUCUUUCGGCACUCUUCCGGCCUCUACAAUAUCGGCAUACUCGAGUGCGAUAGCAACUCGAGUGAGACUGAUUUUCGGUCUUCUUUCGACACUCUUCCGUCUUCUUCGAUAUCAGCCUGUGCUAAUGCAACGGCUAUUCGUGCAGGACUGAUUUUCGGCCUUGU